rnacentral:rRNA from 1 species
CAAAACGACUCUCGGCAACGGAUAUCUCGGCUCUCGCAUCGAUGAAGAACGUAACGAAAUGCGAUACUUGGUGUGAAUUGCAGAAUCCCGUGAACCAUCGAGUCUUUGAACSCAAGUUGCSCCCCAAGCCAUUAGGCCGAGGGCACGUCUGCCUGGGUGUCACGCAU